rnacentral:lncRNA from 1 species
GAGCACUCCUUCUCCCUUGAUCUUAUCCUCAUGCCGCUCGAGCUCUUUCACUUCCGCAUAGCUAUAAAAAGGGUAUCGGAGCCUCUUACAGGAGUUCCCUCCGUCAUCCUUGCCCUUGCCACACACUCCUCUGCCUCACGCGCAAGUGCUGCCGCCUGAGCUCUCUGUAGAGCUCCCCUUCCGCCCAACACCCCGCUAGCCGCUUCACCUCCUUCGCGCCGUGCUAGAGCUUGCUUGUUAUCCACAAGAAGCACCACCGCCGCUGGAGCACCGCCGGACCUCGUCGCUGCCCGAACCUUAAAUGCCCUUCGACGUUCCGCCUGAGCUUGCUUCUUCCUGACCCCCAAGACUUUGUCAGUAGGACCAAAGGUGAGCUGCUGACCCCUGUCCGUCUCGCCCGACCCCUGUCCGUCUCGCUCGACCCUCUCUGUUUCGGCCGACCGCUGUCCGCCUCGCCCGAGGGCUCGGCUGUAUCCUUUUCUUUUAACCGAGGGUAUCUGGGUAAAUUUCAGGGACUUCUCUGUGUUAAGUUGGAGGACCCCGGUACAGUAUUCCUUGGGUCUAAGGGUCAGAUCGCAAGUUUUUCCCGAUCCGACUCUUAUAUCUUGUUCUAAAUCAACAGAAGCUUAGGAAAUUCAUCUUAAAUCGAGGACAAAAAAAUCAGAAAAAUGUGAAAUCACUUCGGUUGGAAUCCUC